rnacentral:rRNA from 1 species
AGGGAAUCUUCCGCAAUGGACGAAAGUCUGACGGAGCAACGCCGCGUGAGUGAUGAAGGUUUUCGGAUCGUAAAACUCUGUUGUUAGGGAAGAACAAGUACCGUUCGAAUAGGGCGGUACCUUGACGGUACCUAACCAGAAAGCCACGGCUAACUUCGUGCCAGCAGCCGCGGUAAUACGUAGGUGGCAAGCGUUGUCCGGAAUUAUUGGGCGUAAAGCGCGCGCAGGCGGUCUUUUAAGUCUGAUGUGAAAGCCCACGGCUCAACCGUGGAGGGUCAUUGGAAACUGGAAGACUUGAGUGCAGAAGAGGAGAGUGGAAUUCCACGUGUAGCGGUGAAAUGCGUAGAGAUGUGGAGGAACACCAGUGGCGAAGGCGACUCUCUGGGCUGUAACUGACGCUGAGGCGCGAAAGCGUGGGGAGCAAAC